rnacentral:rRNA from 1 species
CUACGUACGUGUAAGUAGCUGAAUGUACCGAAGAAUAAGGAUCGGCUAACUCCGUGCCAGCAGCCGCGGUAAUACGGACGAUCCAAGCGUUAUCCGGAUUUAUUGGGUUUAAAGGGUGCGUAGGCGGCCUAUUAAGUCAGGGGUGAAAGACGGUAGCUCAACUAUCGCAGUGCCCUUGAUACUGAUGGGCUUGAAUACACUAGAGGUAAGCGGAAUGUGACAAGUAGCGGUGAAAUGCAUAGAUAUGUCACAGAACACCGAUUGCGAAGGCAGCUUACUAUGGUGUUAUUGACGCUGAGGCACGAAAGCGUGGGGAUCAAACAGGAUUAGAUACCCUGGUAGUCCACGCCCUAAACGAUGAAUACUCGCUGUUAGCGAUAUACAGUUAGCGGCUAAGCGAAAGCAUUAAGUAUUCCACCUGGGGAGUACGCUCGCAAGGGUGAAACUCAAAGGAAUUGACGGAA